rnacentral:rRNA from 1 species
UACGUAGGGUGCAAGCGUUAAUCGGAAUUAUUGGGCGUAAAGCGUGCGCAGGCGGUUCGUUGUGUCGGCGGUGAAAGCCCCGGGCUUAACCUGGGAAUGGCCGUUGAAACUGGCGAACUGGAGUGUGGCAGAGGGGGGUGGAAUUCCGCGUGUAGCAGUGAAAUGCGUAGAGAUCCGGAAGAACACCGGUGGCGAAGGCGGCGAUCUGGCCCAACACUGACACUGAGACCCAAAAGCGUGGGGAUCAAACAGG